AGGAAUUUAGGUUAAUAAAGACCAUGAGCCUUCAAAGCCCAUAGCGGGGGUGGAAUUCCUUCAAUUCCUG
rnacentral:tRNA from 1 species